AUUGAACGCUGGCGGCAGGCUUUACACAUGCAAGUCGAACGGUAACAGGCCGCAAGGUUCUGACGAGUGGCGAACGGGCGAGUAAUGCAUCGGAACGCGCCCAGUCGUGGGGGAUAACUACUCGAAAGAGUAGCUAAUACCGCAUACGAUCUAUGGAUGAAAGCGGGGGACCGUAAGGCCUCGCGCGAAUGGAGCGGCCGAUGUUAGAUUAGGUAGGUGGUGGGGUAAAGGCUGACGAAGCCAACGGUCUGUAGCGGGACGGAGAGGACGACCAGCCACACCGGCACUGGGACACGGCCCCGACUCCUACGGCGGGCGGCCGUGGGGGUUUUUGGACAAUGUGCGCAAGCCUGAUCCUGCACUGCCGCGUGCACGAAGAGGGCCUUCGGGUUGUAGACUGCUUUUGUGCGGAACGAAACGGCUCUGGUUAAUACCCGGGGCUAAUGGCGGUACCGUAAGAAUAAGCACCGGCUAACUACGUG
rnacentral:rRNA from 1 species